rnacentral:piRNA from 1 species
UAACAUAUCGAUAUGCCUACA